UCCUCAUCUGCCUUCCACAUGGGGUAGGUCUGAGGAUCAAACGGUACAGCAUAGACUAGGCAGUGAAGCAUUCACUGUUUAUUCCUGUUGCAACAGCCUCAUCCUAUUUCUUCACCAGGGGCAGACACUGGCCUCAGAUACCUGACCUGGUACCCUCUAUGAGGCCAGCGGUGCUGGGCUCCCCAGACCGAGCACCCCCAGAAGAUGAGGGGCCUGUCAUGGUGAAGCUAGAGGACUCUGAGGAGGAGGGUGAGGCUGCCCUAUGGGACCCAGGCCCUGAAGCUGCACGCCUGCGUUUCCGGUGCUUCCGCUAUGAGGAGGCCACAGGGCCCCAAGAGGCCCUGGCCCAGCUCCGAGAGCUGUGUCGCCAGUGGCUGCGUCCAGAGGUACGCUCCAAGGAGCAGAUGCUGGAGCUGUUGGUGCUGGAGCAGUUCCUGGGCGCACUGCCCCCUGAGAUCCAGGCCUGUGUGCAGGGGCAGCGGCCAGGCAGCCCCGAGGAGGCUGCUGCCCUAGUAGAUGGGCUGCGCCGGGAGCCAGGCGGACCUCGGAGAUGGGUGAGUGAGUGUCCAUGAGUGGGGUUCAGGACUGGAGCAUCAUCCAGCUCGGCCUCACCCUGGGUAGCACCACGCUUUGCCAGACACACGUUAUCCCUUGUGGUACAGAAGUGGCCACCUGCAACAGAGACCCUGUGCAAGGCUGCCCAGGGCAGAGGGAUUCCAGGGCCAGACUCCCACACCCAUUCCUGCAUCACCUGCAGUCACGUGGACAUAGGAGCUGCAGGCUAGGGGGAUAUGGGGAAGGUACUGGAAGGCCAGGGUGUCAGAGCAGGGGAGGGACUGCAGGUGGUCCCUUCGUUCUUUGCUUAGGGCCUAGGGGAGGUAGGUCCUUGGAGGACCUAGUCAGUAGGUAUUUACGAGGCGGGCCCCUGGGAUCCUACAGUGGGAUGGGCACCCACAAACCCCAGGUUGCGGCCAGCCUCACUCUCUGGUAGGACCUCUGAUGGUGGGGGCACCUCCCCAGGUCACAGUCCAGGUGCAGGGCCAGGAGGUCCUAUCAGAGAAGAUGGAGCCCUCCAGUUUCCAGCCCCUACCUCAAACUGAGCCUCCAACUCCAGAGCCUGGGCCCAAGACACCUCCUAGGACUAUGCAGGAAUCACCACUGGGCCUGCAGGUGAAAGAGGAGCCAGAGGUUACAGAGGACUCAGGUGAGGGCAUGCAGGGUGGGCGCGCCUAAGGUCUGGUUGGGUGGGCCAGGAAACCUGGCCUGAGCAGUCAGUCUGAAGUCCACUGGGCCAGGUUUGUUAUAAAUGGAAUGGUUUCCCAAGUGCCAGCAGCCCCCACACUCCACCCAGUCAGGUCUCCCCUCCACCGCAGCCAGUGCUGUCACUACCCCUCACACACCAAGCCUGACUGCCACAGCCCUGUACCCACGAACCCCAUGGCAUGCAGCAGGCUGUUGGGGUUUCCCAGUACGGAUGGCAUGUGGUGUUCAGUCCCCAAGGAGAUGCAUUAGGCAAUAUGUGCUUGUCACUGGGGAACAGACAGCAGGCAGAGGUAUAAUUAGGAGCUGCUGAGGGAGGACCUCGUAGUGUUAGGGGUAUGACCCCUUUCACCUCCCAGGCAGGGCACCUGAACUAGCUGCUCACACCCUGCCAUUCCUGUGUGGACCCUUGUACAAUACCUCUGACCCCCGCUGACCAUCUUGCCCCAUGGUUCAUAUAAGGCUACAGGGGCACAAACCUCAGCCCAUCUCAUCCCACUGCAGCUCAACCCCCGGCCUUCCAGGGUACUCUGCUUCACCCACCCCGAUCUGGGCCCUCAGCCACCCUGCACUGCCCUCCCCAACCCAAGCCCACAACCGGGAAUCCCACCUCUCUGCAUCCCAGCACCUGGCACCCCACUAAGAAAGGCAGUGGGGUGGAAACUCGCUCAGGCUGCCUGAUCCCAGUUUUCCUCUCUAGAUUUCCUGGAGUCUGGGCCUCUAGCUGCCACCCAGGAGUCUGUACCCACCCUCCUGCCUGAGGAGGCCCAGAGAUGUGGGACCAUGCUGGACCAGGCCUUUCCCCACAGCAAGACUGGGCCUGAGGGUCCCUCAUGGAGGGAGCACCCCAGGGCCCUGUGGCAUGAGGAAGCUGGGGGCAUCUUCUCCCCAGGUAAGUGAGAUGGGGUGUGGUGGGACUAGGCCCUCCGCAUGGACAGCACCAUCUCUGCCGACCCCACUCCUGGCCCUAUGCAGGCAGCCCUCUUACUCCAGCAUCCCCAAGUUCCCCCAUUCCCUAGAUCAUCCCCUAUAAGGUUCAACCUCCUCUAGCACCUUCUGCCCUCAAAAAAAGCCACCCACCACUACCACUGAUCCCACAGCCCCUCUACUUUCUAGAAACUCCCCACCCUAGUAAAACCUUUUGCAAGUACGGCGAGUAUUCCCCGUACCCACAUUCUCUCCCAGUCCUGGUAUCUUGGAUGGCCUCCUGGGCUUGCAUCCUGCUGGUCAGGCAUCAGGACAGGUAGGGCUGGGACCUAACAAGGACAGCAGGUUAGUAGACGAGCAGGUGGGCAGGAGGGAUCUUGACAAAGGAUAGGGAUCCUGCCCAAUCAUCCAGGCAUUAUGGACCAGAGGCCCCCUGCCAUCUACCUCUCAGCCACCACCUUUGUCUGGCAUCAUCCAGGCUCCCCCUAUACCCCAUCUUCUGUUCUGUUCCUUCCUGUUCCUGAGACCCAGGGUCUCCUCUUUCUUAGUUCACACCUUUGUUUUGGUGGAGCUUUCUGGGUGUUCUGGUGUGGAAGAUAAAAUUCUGACAUGUCCCAUAUCUGAAACACAUUGUCUAGCCCUCAACAUUAGAUUGAAGUUUGGCUGGAAGAAUUCUUUUUAUUAAUACAGUCACAGACCUUUUUUUAUCACUAUUGUUAGUGAGCCUUUUCAGUUUGAAAUUCACAUCUGUCAGUUCUGGGAAACUGCCUUGAAGUGUUUAUUUCAUUUCCUUCCCUUCUAUUGCUCUGCUCCGUUUCUGGGAUGCCUGUUACUUGGCUGUUGGCAUCUGGGAUGGGUCCUUUAAUGUUCUUAUCUUUUCACUCCAAUUUUCCAUUCCUUUGUCUUUCUACUCUAUUUUCCUGGAAAUUUUCUCAUUUGUAUCUUUCAGACCUUCUGUUAAGAUUUUCAUUUCUGGUAGCUUUUUUUUUGCGGUGGAGGGGGGGGUCUCACUGUUUCACACAGACUAGAGCACAGUGGUGCCAUCAUAGCUCCCUGUAACCUCGAACUCCUGGG
rnacentral:sRNA from 1 species